UUCUUUUCUUCUUCUUCUUCUUCUCUUCCCUUCACCACCAAGAAUUUUGAAGACAUCCAACUUCCAUUUUUUUUCCUUCUUUAAUUUGCAGAGAACUUCUAAGAGAGAGUUUGGAAGAAGAAGAGGAGGAGAACUCAAGCAAAGUGUAUCCAUGGCUGAAUUUUAGUUCAUUCUACACAUCACUGGUUUUUAAUUCGGUUUGAACUCUUCAAAAGGAAUUAAGAGAAAAUAGGGCAGUUGGUUUUCACUCGAAAUCAGGAGGUCUCUGAUUUUUCUUGUAUUUCAGAGUGUAUCGGUUGAGUUAAAAUCUCUAUUUGUUAAAUUGUAGGGACAAGUUAAAGAGGUCAUGUGCGCACAAUUCUGGAAGUGGUUCUGUUUCGAGGGUUAUCUGAGUUUAUGCACGGGGAAUCAGAUUUACAUGUCUUCAGGCCGAGAAGAAUUAAACCAAGCUUAUAGACCAAGGAUAUAGCCCAAGACUGUAGAGAUCGAGUUCCCGGUGCCUGAUAAACUGUCUUAGUCUGCUGAAGCUCCGUUAUCGAUUGCCAGUACGUGUUUUGAGUUGGGCACAGAGUUUGUUGUGUUAUGAUGUAUAUACACCCUUGUAUGCUAUAGAUACUCCACAGUUUGUAUAAGGUUUAGGAGCUGUAGUUGUGUAAAUUUUGUUGGUUAUAUUUUGAUUAAGGUGUCUUUAGGUUUACUCGUGAAAUCAGUAAAUUUUAAGAUACACUUCAUGUAUGUGUUUGACUAGCUGUGUUUGACUAGCAUAGGAUCGCUGUGUUUUGUUGCAUGUAUAAUAGUUUAUAUACUAGAUUGGCAAGUUCAUCACAUGAAAGUUUUAAGCAGAGUCGACAGAUACAGGUACAGAAAAGCGUUGUUCGUCGGCUUCACGCCAUCUUUCGGUCUAAGGUAGCAGGUAGUCCGGGAGGGGGUGUGACACACUUGAUAGAUUUAUUACACUUAAUCACUUGCUAAACUUCGUUGAUACAUAUUAUUAGUUUGAAACACUUGAUAUGUUGUUGAUA